rnacentral:rRNA from 1 species
GAUGAACGCUGACAGAAUGCUUAACACAUGCAAGUCGAUGGGGAAGUGGUGCUUGCACCAUGGUAACCAUGGCGGACGGGUGAGUAACGCGUAAGGAACUUACCUGCGGGACCGGGAUAACAGCAGGAAACUGCUGACAAGACCGGACAAGGUCAUUAAGCUGCCUCGCUUAGCGAUGAAAGGAGACGCCUGCGGAGAGCCUUGCGUCCUAUUAGCUAGUUGGAGGGGUAACGGGCCACCAAGCCGAAGAUAGGUAGCCGGCCUGAGAGGGUGGGCGGCCACGAGGGGACUGAGAUACAGCCGUUACGCCUACGGGAGGAUGCAGUGGAGAAUAUUGGACAAUGGGGGCAACCCUGAUCAAGCAAUUCUGUGUGCACGAAGACGGUUUUCGGAAUGUAAAGUGCUUUCAGCAGGGAAGAAGGAAGUGACGGUACCUGCAGAAGAAGCGACGGCUAAAUACGUG